AGUCUAAGGAAAUGAACACAUCAGAAGUCCAAAAGCCCCAAUCCCCAAUUCGGCUACACAAGUACACAACCCUUCUCCCAAAAUCAGAUAUUCAGAUCCCUCUUUUGCUUUCCUCUCAAAUCCCUUUCUCAUUUCACAAACUUCAUCUUCUCCUUUUCUCAUUUCAGAUCCCUCUUUUGCUUUCCUCUCAAAUCAGCAACCCUACUACAAGACUCAACUUUACACUAGUAUGGAGACUCACCUUUGAGCAUUGAUUAGCCAGUUUCGUUCACGAUGCACUAUCUGUAUUGGAGGAGUGAUUUGGAUUUUUUCCCAAUCUUCAAGCUGCAGUGAUUCCUUUCAGUUGCUGUAGUAUAUUGCACUGAUUUGGAUUUUUGUUUUUGUUACAUCUGACAUUUUAUGGCCAUUUGACAUUUUAGUUAUAUUAUAAAGUUAAAACUUCAAACAGUGUUUUGCCU